CCUACGGGAGGCAGCAGUCGAGAAUCAUUCACAAUGGGGGAAACCCUGAUGGUGCGACGCCGCGUGGGGGAAUGAAGGUCUUCGGAUUGUAAACCCCUGUCAUGUGGGAGCAAAUUAAAAAGAUAGUACCACAAGAGGAAGAGACGGCUAACUCUGUGCCAGCAGCCGCGGUAAGACAGAGGUCUCAAGCGUUGUUCGGAAUCACUGGGCGUAAAGCGUGCGUAGGCUGUUUCGUAAGUCGUGUGUGAAAGGCGCGGGCUCAACCCGCGGACGGCACAUGAUACUGCGAGACUAGAGUAAUGGAGGGGGAACCGGAAGUCUCGGUGUAGCAGUGAAAUGCGUAGAUAUCGAGAGGAACACUCGUGGCGAAGGCGGGUUCCUGGACAUUAACUGACGCUGAGGCACGAAGGCCAGGGGAGCGAAAGGGAUUAGAUACCCCAGUAGUC
rnacentral:rRNA from 1 species